CUUGUAUUAUUUUAACUUUUAGUUUCUUGUGUACAAUUUGAAGUUUAGUAUGGCGUUCAUUAUCACUGAACCAGUAUAUAUUUGUUUAGGGGCCAGCUGAAGGACGCCUCUGGGUGCGAGAAUUUCUCGUUGCAUUGAAGACCUGUUGGUGACCUUCUGCUGUUGUCUGCUCUAUGGUCGGGUUGUUGUCUCUUUGGCACAUUCCCCAUUUCCAUUCUCAAUUUUAUUGCAAAAAU
rnacentral:lncRNA from 1 species